rnacentral:pre_miRNA from 1 species
UUUGCUGUUGAUUGUGAAUUGUUCACCUUUCUCUUGUUGUCCACUGCUCAUGCAAGCAACAGUGGACAACAGGAUAAUGGCGUUCAAUAAGCAAACCACUCGGCCUGUAAC